rnacentral:misc_RNA from 1 species
GAACACCAAUGCAUUUUUCUGACUAUACAUGCAAGCAAUAAUGAGCCAACUCAGACCCGAGUCAACGUCCAGAUACCUAGGAAGCUAGAAGCAAUUAAAAACUGCCCAAAAUUUGAACCACUACAUAAGAAACAAUUACCAUUUGUCAAACUAACAAAUUUUCAUAAACAAGGCAGUAUAGACCUAGACAUCACUUUUCACAGGCAUGGUUAGAUCAAUUCUGUUUAUUCCAACAAAUGCAGCUUCAUGUUAUGAUACAAGGAUACUAUUUACCUUCAAAAGGAAAUGUUUACAUCACAAAACCAAUAUUUCAUUCCAUGACUUUUUUGAGUUUGGAGAACCAGACCCACAUAAACAGGAUUAAUUUCUCUUCAGCUUCUCUUUCA